GUUUGCUUGGACAAGAAGAAAUCAUGGUCUGUUCUGGGUAGUUUUCCAAGUGCAUUAAAGUAAUUAGAAAUACCGGUAACUGUUAAAUUUCAAGUUGUCCAAAAAAUUAAAGUAUAUCGAUGAAGAUAACUGACAAAUCUAAGUAAAUUCCAUUUUAAUUAUUCCCCUUCUGUCUGCACUUCAAAGGGGGCUCAUGUUUUUGGAGUCCUGCCAAAGUUCUCCUCUACCUUUGACCCUGUCAACUUUGGAAAUGGAGUGAUGGAUUGACUUUAGUUAUGGCCUGAAAACCAUAUUGGGUUCCUGUUGGGAUAUAAAGUCCAGAGGCCUGGAGCAUAUGGAAGAAGUGGGGAAAAUCCUUCCUACAAAGUUAGUAGAGUGAUUAGAAAUUGUCUCUUGAUAGAGCUGAAAAAAGCCUUCAACUAUGAUAGAUUUUGCUUUCUCCCCCUCUCUCUCUCUGGCCCAUUAACAGGCCUUGUAAAUCUUAACAUCUUAGGGCAGAGGAGGUGGGGAGAGGGUCUGGGAAUCUGUAUUUUAAACAAAGAAAUGAGUUUGAGAAACCUGAGUUCUGCUCCUGAGGCUGUUGGAGAGGCUUUCUGGCCUAUAAAGCACUCCACCCGUGGGAGGGUUCUUACGAGACUGGGUCCGUUCACCAGGAACACAAUAGUAGUGUUUACUCUUAUGUAGAACUUUCUAGAAGGAGAGUCCUGCGGGAGACUCCAGAGAACCUUUCCUCCUUCCACCCCUGUCCCACUGCACACACUCUGUGGUCCAUAGUCCAACUGUUGACAUUUUCUGUAUCCAAGGAUGCACCACCAUGACAGAGCCAAGCCCAUUAUUAGGUGUACCUGGUUAAUUAGCCAGACCCCCAUGGUUGCCACUGCCAACCACAGCACAAACAACAUCGGGGCUCUGAAAAAUAACACAUUUUCUUUGCACAUGUGACUUUGCAGGUCAAUUUUCCACCAACCGUGGUUUGCUAACGUGCAACUUGCUUCUGCGCAAUUGAGAGAGCCACGUGAGAACAGGGCUCAUUAGGGAAAGUCCAGUUGCCUCUUACUGGUUUGAGACCUGGAGGAGGUAUGCUAGCCUAGGCGGAGAGGAGAGGAGAAGAGAUCCUCUGUCUUCCGCGCAGACUUCCAGAGAGAACUGGCAAUGCAGAAAAAUAAUCCUAGUAGGGGCACCCAACAGAACCACAGUGACUGGUUGUUCAGGGACUUCUUGGCUGUCUUGACUUCAGGUGGCAGUGAGUAUGCAGGGAGAGGAUAUCAGAGCAUGGUAUUUAGGGGUGGAAUUGUCAUUGUCUCUAAUUGUAAAAUCUGCACCAACCACAGAAUCCAGGGCAAAACACAGUGUGUGAGGACAUGGGGGUAAAUGAGCACAGCUUUUCACUAUUGUUCCUGUGGUUCUUUGCAG
rnacentral:lncRNA from 1 species